UACGUAGGUGACAAGCGUUGUCCGGAUUUACUGGGCGUAAAGAGCGCGCAGGCGGUCGAUCAAGUCGAGUGUGAAAGCCCCCGGCUCAACUGGGGAGGGUCAUUCGAUACUGAUCGACUCGAAGGCAGGAGAGGGUAGUGGAAUUCCCGGUGUAGUGGUGAAAUGCGUAGAUAUCGGGAGGAACACCAGUGGCGGAAGGCGACUACCUGCCUGUUCUUGACGCUGAGGCGCGAAAGCUAGGGGAGCAAACGGG
rnacentral:rRNA from 1 species